rnacentral:rRNA from 1 species
CCGAAGGUGUUUUGGCGGAUGAGAGAAGAUUUUCGGCCUGAUACAGAUUAAAUCAGAACGCAGAAGCGGUCUGAUAAAACAGAAUUUGCCUGGCGGCCUUAGCGCGGUGGUCCCACCUGACC